AAUCCCGUACGAUCAUUAAAGUCAAGCAACGUCGAGCCUGAUCAGUACCUAGAUGGGUUACCACUUGGGAAUACCAGGUGCUGUAAG